CAGUCGUACCGACGGGAAUUCAACUUCUUGAGUGCUUGUCGUGGGUGAUGUUGAGCUUCACGGCCUUCGUUGCCUUGCGUUAUGGUACUUUUAGGGUGUACUUUUCCGUAUGGUAGGUCAACAUCGAUUUUAGUCGUCGUAAAAUGAUCGGAGGAAUGUGGCUUCGGUCUUGCAUUGAAGUGUUAUAGCCUUCGGUAGAUGUGGUGAUCGAGAUUGAGGAUUGCAACGGAUACCCUUCGGGGCUACCUGUCUGGUCUCUG
rnacentral:rRNA from 1 species